rnacentral:rRNA from 1 species
CCCUACGGGGGGCAGCAGUGGGGGAUAUUGCACAAUGGGGGGAACCCUGAUGCAGCGACGCCGCGUGGGUGAAGAAGCGCCUCGGCGCGUAAAGCCCUGUCAGCAGGGAAGAAAAUGACGGUACCUGAUGAAGAAGCCCCGGCUAACUACGUGCCAGCAGCCGCGGUAAUACGUAGGGGGCAAGCGUUAUCCGGAUUUACUGGGUGUAAAGGGGGCGCAGGCGGCGAUGCAAGCCAGGAGUGAAAGCCCGUGGCCCAACCCCGGGACUGCUCUUGGACCUGCGUGGCUGGAGUGCAGGCGGGGCG